rnacentral:rRNA from 1 species
UUGGGGGGUAUGUAGGGAGAGUUGGUAGGCAAAUCCGCCGGCUCGUUUUACUGAGGUACCUCGGAAGCGGCUACGUGCUGCGAACAGAUUGACGCCACACCGCCAAGAAAAUCCUCUAGUGACAAAUGAUACUGCCCGUACCGUAAACCGACACAGGUAGGCUGGUAGAGAAUACUAAGACGCGCGAGAAAACCCUCGCUAAGGAACUCGGCAAAAUAACUCUGUAACUUCGGGAGAAGGAGUGCCACAUUAGUGUGAAACCACUUGCUGGUGGAGCAUGAGGUGGUCGCAGCGGAGAGGCCCAAGCGACUGUUUAACAAAAACACAGGUGUCUGCUAAGUCGUAAGACGAUGUAUAGGCGCUGACGCCUGCCCAGUGCCGGAAGGUUAAGGAAGGAUGUUAGUCGUAAGAUGAAGCAUUUAACUGAAGCCCCGGUGAACGGCGGCCGUAACAAUAACGGUCCUAAGGUAGCGAAAUUCCUUGUCAGGUAAGUUCUGACCCGCACGAAAGGCGUAACGAUUUGGGCGCUGUCUCGGCGAGGGGCUCGGUGAAAUUGGAUUGGCUGUGAAGAUACGGCCUACUCAUACCAGGACAGAAAGACCCCAUGGAGCUUUACUGUAGCUUGUCAUUGAAACUGGGUGGCUUAUGUGCAGGAUAGGUGGGAGACUAUGAAGCGGUUUCGUCAGGAAUCGCGGAGUCGUCGGUGAGAUACCACUCUUAAGUCAUCUAGUUUCUAACCUGAGUCCGUAAUCCGGCUUGGGAACAGUGGCUGGUAGGCAGUUUGACUGGGGCGGUCGCCUCCUAAAGAGUAACGGAGGCGCCCAAAGGUUCCCUCAGAUUGGUUGGAAAUCAAUCGCAGAGUGUAAAGGCACAAGGGAGCUUGACAGUGAGACUGACAGGUCGAACUGGGACGAAAGUCGGGCUUAGUGAUCCGACGCCAGCGCGUGGAAGUGGCGUCGCUCAACGGAUAAAAGUUACCCUGGGGAUAACAGGCUGAUCUCCCCCAAGAGUCCACAUCGACGGGGAGGUUUGGCACCUCGAUGUCGGCUCGUCGCAACCUGGGGCGGUAGUACGUCCCAAGGGUCGGGCUGUUCGCCCGUUAAAGCGGUACGUGAGCUGGGUUCAGAACGUCGUGAGACAGUUCGGUCCAUAUCCGGUAUGAGCGCAGGAGAAUUGAGAGGAGCCGUCCCUAGUACGAGAGGACCGGGACGGACCAACCGCCAGUGUACCAGUGGUUCCGCCAGGGGCCAACGCUGGGUAGCUGUGUUGGGAGCGGAUAAGCGCUGAAAGCAUCUAAGUGCGAAGCCCACCUCAAGAUGAGUUCUCCCAUCACUUCCUUCGGGAAGUGGGUAAGACCCGCGGAAGAUAACCGCGUAGAUAGGCUUCAGGUGGAAGGUCAGUGAUGGCCGUAGCCGAGAAGUACUAAUCGGUCGAGGAUUUGACCG